rnacentral:misc_RNA from 1 species
CACGCAUCAAUUCCCUCAACGUAAACAUGGUCUUCGUUUGUCAAGAUAGAGGCAUAAUCCUUUGCCAACCCAUUCGGGUCAUAAUAGCUCUCAUCUUAUCAUGUUACAGCAAGGAAGCCUUUUCUUUUUUUACUGUGGCUGUGGGGAUUCGAUGACAAGAUGAGGAGUUCACAUGAACAGUAAUUUGACUCUUUUGUCCAUGCAUGUCCUCCUGUUCCCCAAAGUUUUAAACUCCAUGAUGGGGGUGGGCAUCAUUACCUGUUAGG